rnacentral:lncRNA from 1 species
ACUUGAGCCCAGGAGGUCAAGGCUGCAGUGAGCUGUGAUUGCACCACUUCACUCCAGCCCAGAGUGAGACCCCAUCUCUGAAAAAAACACAAAAAACAAGAAAAGAAUACUGCAAAGAACCUUGGUAGGGGUGAAUUGGAAAAAGUAGAGAAAUGUAAUAUUUCUUUCCUGCUGUACUCACUGUAACUGUGAGAGGAUCGGCUCUUUUAACCAACAGAUAAGAAAGGAAAUAUUAGCUAUGAAGAAAUGUCUAUCAAGUUGAUUUUGACAACCUAGACACAUUAAUCUCCUUGCACUUUUAGUGACAGGAACCCAUUAGAACCUUAAGCAGCUGUCUGAAGUAAAAACAAAGCUCUCAGGUGUAAAGCCGCUGCUUCUGGGUAGAGCCUCCACUUGUGGCUGCACAGAGGGCACAGAGAGCUUUUCCUUCAGCCCGGAGAAGCUUCCUAAGUGUGGGCGCCACCUUGUGGGACAUACAUUGAACUACGACGCUAUUUCUCCAAGAAUUAACAGGACAGCCCCUCCCACCGGUGUCCUUCCAACGAUGUUGCAUACAAUUUGGCUGUACA